AUACUAAAUUUUAAAAAUGUAUAUUCUGCACUUGUAUUUCUAGUCUUUUCAGUAUUUGUCAGCAUAGGAGCGUUGCAAUAGUGUUGAGCAGUUGCCCUGCGGUGCCAUCUUGGUGCAGUAAUAGUAAUGUAAUAAGUAAAUAUAAUGCCAAGAUGGUAUACAUAGUGCAAACAAAAAGCACAUGGUACACAAAUGGGAUACCCUGAACAUCAAAAGAUUAGCAUAUUAUAGAAAUUAUGUAUAGACAAUAAUUAAUUAGUGAUGGUAUUUGUGUGUUGAAAAAAUACGUUGAAGUAUGUGAAUUGGCGACUGUCAGAUACAUGCAAACAAUAUGUAGAGAAAAUGGAUGAUACUGGAAACAGCCCAUACACAUUGAAAGCAAAGUGGUUUUGAGCUGCCAUGUGUAAGUUAUGAGAAUAUUGUUAAUUGUAUGGUUCUUCAAAUGUCAUUCUGAAGCAAAUGAAAGUGACUAAAAGCGUGGAAGCCUUUUUAUUUUCUGGCUAGGUACAUGAACUGCAGUGGAAAAUGUGGAUACAAAGGUGUAUUCGAGGGUAACUACAAGUACAAAUCUCAUGCUUCAUUAUUUUUAUGUAUAAGGGCUGCAACAACUAAUCAAUAAUGAGUGUAAUAACAAUUGACAAUGAAUUUUGUCAUUGAUUGCAUUAUUCCAGUUUGCUGCAUAAAUUGCAUACAAUGACAUCACCUCCUAGCACCAUUAAACAUUGCUGUGUUAAGCCUAGGUCAUACUUCACUUUUCCUAAAGCUGUUAGGGUCCAUGCAUCAUUGUGUGUGCAGACCCUUGAGUACAUACUGCAUUUGUCUGUGGAUGCAGGUAGCAGCGGUCGGUGCAUGCAAACAGCAGUGAUACGAAUGUCACCAGACCUGCAGAGGGCAAAUAUGCUGCUACUAGCAAUGUAUUGAGAGAGAGAGAGAGAGAGAGAGAGAGAGAGAGAGAAACUUUUAUGAACAAAAGUUAUUACUAUGUUACUAGGCUUGGGUGUAAUAUAGUAUACUGUGGUAUUUUGAAAUCUUGGUGACAAAAGGCCUACCUUCUGCAUGUGCUCAGUGAAUUUUAUCCCCAAGAAUUCAAAAUGCUAGAAUGGCAUUUUAGUUAAUGAAUGUCUGUGCUACAAAAAUGUUAAUGGAAUUUUGUUUUCAGUAAAUUAACAAUUUAUUGCUGUUAUUGUAACAUGAACUAUAGAGUUCCUUUGUGUUUCAAGUUAAUUAGCCUACACUGUUAUCACUAAUGUCAAGUGGCACAACUGUUCACCAUCAGGUGGUGGGACCUGGGCAAUGACAUACAUUCUUUGGCAAAAAAAAUGGGCCAAGCCCAAAAUUGCAAAAUAUUACAAUAAAAAUUAUUUUAAUUGUGAAGGACCAUGUAGGCCAGGCGUAAGGGCACUGGAAGGUUUUUGAAGAACAAGAUUUUUUAUUACAAACGUUUGCAAAACUAACACAGAAAUAAGCUUAAGUUUAUUUUUGAUAAGUUCAGAACAAUAUCAAACUUCACAUGAACUCAAACAACUCAAUGGACAAAAUCGCUAAAACGGACUAACUCCACAACAUGACACAGGGGUGUAUAUAUACCCACACAGGCUUGGCCAAACAAUCAGACAAAAGGGGGGAAAAUAUUAAAUGAUUAACCAAAUAAAGUAAAUCUCAAAACGAUAAACAAAAUGUCAAAAUUAUACCACCACUACACAACCAGUUCAAUAUCAUUGUAUAUACAAAAUAAAUCUAAACAUUAAGGAAAGAAAAAUUAAAACUCUGCUUCCCCCACAACAUACCACUAGUGUGAGGUGGUCCAAUGUCCUGUGGUAGUUCAAACUAACCAACAUCCGAAGUACGACUGUUUCCCAAAACCGUUGAACCACAGUAGUUUGAACCACAUUAGUUGGUUGGGACUUCCGUAGUUCAAACUACAAUGGUUCCAGCGCUGAUGGGUAAGACUCAUGGCGAGUCAUGCGCAACAACUAACAAACUACUUUCACAGCUGGUCGCGUACAAAAACUCGAACUGUGUAAUAUCAUAUAAAUAUAUAAUAAUCACACACACACACGUGUACGCAUCAUCAAUUUGUCAGUCACAUAACACCAAUAAUAUGAAAAAUGGCAAUCGUGCCAAAAUAAUGCGACGCUUCUUGCUGUGGUAAACAGAACUUUUACCUAUGACACUGCAUUUUGUGAAAGACGCUCCAUCUGUAAUUACGUUGAUUGCAGUUCAUUGUGUUUCAGUCACACUACGACCACUUACAAAUUCCUGGUCCGACGUUGUUGCUUACAGAAUGUUAGUGGCUGACUGGAAUAGACAGGUGCGUGUAAUAUCCAAACAUUACAGACGUCAUUCCCCGAGUUCAAAGGCAUGGAUUCGUAUCUGACCGCUGUAGUGUCAUUCUACUCUUCUAUUAUGGCAAUGACAGCUGUCAGUGAAUAAGGAGUACUUCAUCAAAAUGCUGUACUUUUUUCUAAGGCGACUGUUGUCCCUCUUAAGUUAUGUGUGUAAUGAAGAAACUGCACAACACCCAAUGGUCUGCAUAGGGCUACAAACACACAGAUGUACACAUACAAGGGAUAAUGAUUUUUUUUAAAUUUUUUUUUUAGGGGUUUUAUUAUUUUCUUUUUAUUUUAAUGUUGUUUUUUUAUUAUUAUUUCUCUUUUUUUUCCCCCUAUAUAUGAUGAAGUGUACCAUAUGGCACAAUGACCACAGGGUACACAACAUCCUUUACCAAGCAAUACACACUAACUGCAUAUGCCACUACAGGGGUGGGCAGUCUUAUCCAGAAAGGGUCGGUGUGUUUGUAGGUUUUUUUUGGGAUAACCGUUCAAUCAGUUGCUCAAACCCAGUUGUGCGAACUCUUCAGUCGAUCGGUCCUCUACGUUCUACUCUAAGCACAGAGUUGCAGCGAAAAGCUGCAUGUCUGAGAUCUGUCCCUAUUGCUCACUACAGACAGUUACCGUACUUAUGACCAGAGACCCACACAACAAUUACAUUUCAAACUACAUUUUCAGACAACUUCACAUUAUAUGUGAUCGUAGAGCUAAAUUAUUCCUUAUUAGGUAUUAAAGAUUAUUACAUUUCUUACUUACACGGUGACUAAACCCUUAUUAGACUGUAUUUUCCACCAUCGCUGACGUAUUUACCCGGAACUACGCUUCGAACUAUGCAACUUAACGACAGUGUUUGCGAAUGUUUGUUCGAACUAUGGUUUUGGGAAACACCUGUGUCGUUUAACGAUGCAUUGUACUAUGCAAGUCCGCAGUAUCGUUACCUCUGUAGUUCGAACUAUGGUUUCGGGAAACACCUGCGUCGUACUUGCAUAGUUCGAACCACGUAAGUUGCUAAUGUAGUUAGCAACGAUGGUUUUGGGAAAGGCACCCCUGGCCAGGCCUUUCCCAAACGGCAAACACAAAAGGAAUCUGGAAUCACAAAAUCAUCUCUCAGGAAGACGGUGUUUAAAGUAAAGAGGCCCUUAACAAACAAAGAAAAAACAGCACGCCAUAGGCAACGUGUUAAUGCUGACCCAGCAGCAAGACAAGAAUAUCUUGCUAGAAGAAAAGAAAGCUACCAGAGAAGAAAACGGGAGGGACUGAUCAAAUAUAUCAAGUCAAGUGAGCUCAGGAAGAAAGAGAGGAAGAAACAGAGACAGAAAUGGAGGGAUGCCUCUAGGAGUUACAGGGAGAGAAAAAAGAUGACCGAUGUUGUUUCUGAUCAUACUCCACCAUCUGCAGAAAACUAGAGGUUAUGCAACUAUUCUGAAAUACUUUGGUUGUUUAAAUAUUCUAUCUGAUCUGCUUGUUACAGUCUAUAAGAUGUUUCUUCUGUAAAUUAUUUGGAACUUACUCUUAUUCGGAACAUCAUGAAACAAUAAACCUCUCUUGGCUUUGUUGCAUAGAA